AAACCCCAAAAUUUUAUUCCCACCUUUGGGUUUCCGCGCCGAAGACCCAGCGCCAGAUUCGGCGACAAAGAAAACUGACAGCAGUCGCCGGGCAGUUGGCAAUCCUGAUAUUUGACGGCGGUCGCCCGUUAGUCAUGGGAGUGGAUUGUUGUCACGCAAAUAGAGCUUUUCGCUGAAAAUGCAUGUGUAUUGAGGUCUUGUUGACAGAUUUUCUGCUGUGUUAGUGUGAAAUUCAGUGAUUUCCUGUAUCGCGUAAGCCUUCGCUGGAAGGAAAUGUCAUGUUGCUCAGCGAAGCAAGGAAAAUUUUCAGUGAAAAAAGCAAUAAUUUCUACGAACAAAAUCACUAUAACCUAGUAGCUUACUAUUCUCAAUUUAGUUGAAAAUCGGAGCUUUCGACUAGCAAAGUAAAUUUUUUCUUCAAAUCCACGCGUCAGAUCUAGCUUCGGAAGUGGUCCGACGCACGGAUUUGGAGAAAAAUACAAUUUCGUUAGUCGAAAAUUUCGGGUUUCAACUGACGGAGAAUACAAUGUUCACGAUCAUUGUAGGCAAAUACAGCCAGUCAUGAAAGUUGGUUGUGAAUGAUAAAUUUGAUUAGCAUCAUGAUCCGGAGUUACACCCAUAUACAUGAUAUACAUAACGUAGUGAAAACAUUGCCAUUUACUUAAAUUGCAAAACAAGGCUUGGCCUUUUGUACUUUCCAAUUUUGGGUGACAAAAUACGAAGCGAAUGAUGUUGCUGUUAUGAUAUUGGGCGCACAUAUAAGGGUGCUAUUACACUCUUUGACCAAUGCCAAAAAUUUGACCACUUUUGAUAGUUAAAUUUUGACCAAGGCACAGAGAACAGACGUCUAUCUUCGCUUUCUGCCUUGUGUAAAACUUUGUAACGGUCAUAUCGGAGUAUGUGUAGCGUCCCAUCACUUACAUUGUUGUGUUGUCAUAUUUGAUUCCAGUGCUCGCCGUUUUUGGCCGUUUGGCGCUCGUGUCGCUUUGUGGGCUAGUGUAUUUUAACGACGAACACUACCAUCGUGGGGUCAAUUCGACUUUAUAUGUGGGGCAGUCUCCGUUGGUGGCGUUGAGGUACACUUAAAUCCUUUACAUACGAUUUUGACGUAUUUUUGUUCGAGCGUCUGUUCUCUGUGACCAAGGUGUACCUGGCAAACAAAAAUAUUUGUCACUCUCGAAAAACGAAUUGUCCAUUUUAGGAGCAUUUUUUGUGCAUGAAGUUUUGACAGGAGGUGGCGUCCUAACCCGUGAAAAUCAAUAUCAUCAACAACAUUGUUAUCGUUUCGUAAAAUGGCUCAUAGGGAAAAACAGAGCCAAAUAACCUGCCAAAAUUUAUCUGUCAAAAGUGGUCAAAUAUUUGGCGUCUUGGCAAAGAGUGUAAUAUUGCGGUAAAAUAGAAAAAAAAAACCAACGGGGUUGCGGUGGUUCCGACCGCCGCAGUCCUAUCGCAAAUGUCAAAAUGCUCGAUGCACGCUAAGAAGCAUUCACUCAGGUGGUUGCUAUAAAAUUCAAUUUUUUUUUAGUUUUCGGUUUAAUAAU